AGCGACAAGGCACGUGCAGGCUCGAGCCAGAUGGGCCGGACAAUCAGUUGGAGCCGAGAGAAUCCGCCAGUCCGUUAGUUUGUUAGUUUGCUUUGUGGGUGUGUUUUGCAUGUUGGCUGAGUCAUGCGUUAGUGGCCUGAGUUAGUGUGUUAGUGUGUGAGGUUGGCGUGUGGCUUGGUUUGUGCCUGAUCCUACUUAAGCAUUAUAAUCAUGCUUGCUUUGAGCCAAGAGAAAUAGAAGAAGAGAACAGGGCAGGUUGCAUGAGGCAGCUGAGCCAAACUCGUGUGUCUCCUUUGUUCUUGUGAGAGUUGUGUGAGGCAGCCUAAAAUCUCAGGGAGAAGCAUAAAAUCCUGUGAGAGAGAGGCAUGGAGAGCGUUCAUAAGAAGGCACUCGGCAUGGUGACGCUACUGAUGGUUCUGCAGCUGCUCGUGGCGGCCAUGGCUCGCUCACCACCGGAGGAGAUGGAAAUGGUGGCGGCGCAGUCAAAAAAGAUAGCGAUCGAGCGCCUCGUCCUGAAAGCACCUCGGGGAGACGCCAGAUGCGCUGACGAAACAUGCUAUACUGGUUUUUGCUUCGUCGUCGCUGGUUGCAGCUGCCAGUAUCCCUACUGUAGGAAGCCUCGCGUUCCAACGGCAGUUCAUGCUUGAAAAGCAUCACCUUCCAUUCGUCGACGGACCCUAAAACGUUGGAUUUUGCUUUCUCUCUAAAAAAAGAGCUAAUAUGCGUACGUUUGUGAUUUAAGUGUGAACUAUGUAUGCAUACAUGGCUCAUGUCUGUCUGGGGAUGUGGAUAGGGGCGGUGUUGAUAUACCUACGCUAAUUUGGUGAUUCAAUAAAUGAUGUGUGUGUUGGAUCGUGUAUCACUACCAUCCAUGUGUGUGGCAUGCAUGGUAGUUUAGUAGCAUGCAGAAAUAUUUAUGGAAGAGUUUAAAUGAUGCUUGAUGCCUACUGGGGAGGACAGGAUAACUGGAGUGGGGGAGACAACUUGGGAUGCUGCUGAAGAUAUAUAGACGCCCACACCUGGACAAGCGCGACGAGAGGAACACGAUGAGCCCAACUUCAGCUCUGGAGUUCAUCAGAUCGCCGAUUGCUCUGGUGUCGCAGCAGAUGACUUGAAACAUCCAUCGCCAUCAUACCCCAUCUUACCCCAUUUGGUCUGUAAUAUGUUCCUGUUCUUAAGUAGAUGAUCCGUCCUGAGACGCUGGAUAUGUAAUAAAGCACCUUCUUUCUUUCCUGA